UGGGAGUGUGACUAGCAGUGGCAGUCUUACAGCACAAACAUCAGAAAUAAUGAGUAAAACUACUGCAAAUUGUUGCUUACAAAUGGCUGUCUUCAGAAUAAGGCAGACAAAGAUGCUGUAAAUGAAAUGAUGGUCACACAGGCCUCUUUUAGGUACAGAGAAUUACAAUAAUAGAGCAAAAGGUCAGCAGUAUAUUGGUUCCCAGUCAUCCCAGUGGUUAAUUCUGAAUGCAAAGGAAAGACAGUCAUGCUCCUGCCAAAUAAAUGGAAAAAUCAGUACAUUUUGUGAGAGGAACUCCCUGAGUACCAAAAGGAAGGUGAAGGACAAAUAAACGGACAGGUGUCGACCUAAGCCUGAGAGUUGACAAGCUGUAUGUACCCUUAUCACGUGAAGGAGCAAUAAAUUCUGUUCUGACCAGCCCUAGUGAAAUGGACAUUUUUUUUUUUUAACAUUUGCCCAUAUGAAAACAUUUUUGGUGAUGUGAUUUUGUUCUUCAGUGCAAAUUUUAUUCUUGAAUCAAUACUAAUAGAAUUUCAGAUGUCUCUCGACCCAGAAUAGUGAUGAGUGAUCAGAAUAAGAAAUGAUCUUCUGAGGGGUUUCCUCCGACCCACCCCAGGA